GCUGGAUCUGGGAAUGUGGAGCAGAGAGCAGUUCUCAGGCUGUAGCUCUGGCAGAAGGUCUUCUCUUGAGCCAGGCAGAGGAUCAGGAGGAGAAAGGCCAGCAGGGACGGGAUGUUUUUAGAGGACUUGCCGCUGAUUUCCCUGAGAUACUGAAAGCUCCAUCAGAAACAAGUCCAAGAGAUGUACAGAUGUGGAUAACCCAGGAAAGUGACAUAGCUCCUGCUCCGCAGAGUAAGGAUUUGUUGUUGUUUAUUUGUUUAGUCGCUUCCGACUCUUCGUGACUUCAUGGACCAGCCCACGCCAGAGCUGGGAAGAGCUUCCCUGUGAGAUUAAACCUUAUGUAUCAUCAGAGAAGUCACACACAUGGAAAUGAAACAUGGGAAGAACAACCAUUAAUGAACCUUAAAGGAUCCAGACAAGGCCCCAGCCCUAUAAAUGUCUGGAGUGUGGGAAGAGUUCCUGUCAGAAGACUGAUCUGAGUUGCCAUCAAAGUAAUUACAUUAUGGAGGAAUUGCAUAAAUGCUCGGAAGGUUAAAAAAAGGUUUACCUAUAGAAUAGCCAUUAACAGACCUCAAAGAACUCACACAGAAGAUAAGCCAUAUCCACAUGGGGAAGCCUUCCUGGUAAGGUCAAAGCUCAUGAGCUGCCAGAGAGCAGUUUUAUAUGCCUGGAGUGUGGAAAGAACCUCAUUCAGAAGGCCCAUCCUCUGGCUCACAAAAAAAUCCACACCUGGGAAGAACCAGAACUAGGCUAAUAGUGUGAGAAAAGCUUGAAUCACAAAACAAAACAUUUGAAGUGACAUACAACAAAUGGGUGUGGUGCUGGUGGAAAACUGACUGCUUUUCUAUCUCAAGAAGCAAAAUCAGCCUCAGUUUUCAACUUUCCAAUUCCCAUUUUGAAAAGUGGGAAGACAGAAUUAGCAUAGUUGGGAGAGGGUUUCCCCCCUCCCCCCAAUAUUGGAAUGAACAAAUUUAGAUCUCUUUGUUUCUAUUCUUUUGUUAAGGAAUAAAAAAGGUGACUGUUGGUCUAAUAAUUAAUAUGGACACCAUUUUAAUUAGGACAAAUUCUUGAUUCAGUCUAAAAACAAUUUUAAUACAGUAUUAAAAACAGGCUUUUUUUAAUGCAUGCUUUAGACAAAGGAUUAUAGGGUAUGGUUGUUGGAUGUUUUGGAUAUUUGUAGUGUUAAGCUUCAAUCUGACAUUUUUUUCCCUCAAAUGCAGUGAAGCUAUUUUAGUUUGCCUAACCAUUCCAAUAAACUAUGGCUUAGUUUGCUUUGUUAACCA